AAGACCCAAAACAAGGUGCUGCAUGGCUGUCGUCAGCUCGUGUCGUGAGAUGUUGGGUUAAGUCCCGCAACGAGCGCAACCCUUAUCAACAGUUGCCAUCAUUAAGUUGGGAACUCUGUUGAGACUGCCGUUGAUAAAACGGAGGAAGGUGGGGAUGAUGUCAAGUCAUCAUGGCCUUUAUGUUCAGGGCUACACACGUGCUACAAUGGCCGGUACAAAACGUCGCAAUCCCGCAAGGGGGAGCUAAUCGCUAAAACCGGUCUCAGUUCGGAUUGAAGUCUGCAACUCGACUUCAUGAAGUUGGAAUCGCUAGUAAUCGCAAAUCAGCAUGUUGCGGUGAAUACGUUCCC
rnacentral:rRNA from 1 species